rnacentral:rRNA from 1 species
UACGAAGGGUGCGAGCGUUAUUCGGAAUCACUGGGCGUAAAGGGUGCGUAGACGGUAUGUUAAGUUUGUUGUUAAAGGCUCCGGCCUAACUGGAGUAUUGCGAUGAAAACUGGCAUGCUAGAGGGUGAGAGAGAGAAGUGGAAUUCCUGGAGUAGCGGUAAAAUGCAUGGAUCUCAGGAGGAACACCAAUGGCGAAGGCAGCUUCUUGGCUCAUACCUGACGUUGAGGCACGAAAGCGUGGGGAGCAAACAGG